rnacentral:rRNA from 1 species
AUAUCAGUAAGCGGAGGAAAAGAAACUAACAAGGAUUCCCGUAGUAACGGCGAGUGAACUGGGAAGAGUCCAUCGCUAAAUCGCAACGUCUUCGUGGUGUUGUGAGGUGUAGCGUAUAGGCGGUUCGCUCUGUAUUUCUAGCUGGUUUAAGUCUCCCUUGACUGGGGCUCCAGAGAAGGUGAAAGGCCUGUUCAACCAGCAGGGAAUAUGGAUUGUUCCGUCUUGGAGUCGGGUUGUUUGGGAACGCAGCCCAAAGCAACGGGUAACUUCCGUUAAGGCUAAAUAUCGCUACGAGACCGAUAGCGCACAAGUA